AUACGUAGGGGGCGAGCGUUGUCCGGAAUGACUGGGCGUAAAGGGCGUGUAGGCGGCGGUGUAAGUCUGGAGUGAAAGUCCCGCAUUCAAUGUGGGAAUUGCUUUGGAUACUGCAGUGCUAGAGUGCGGAAGAGGUAAGUGGAAUUCCCAGUGUAGCGGUGAAAUGCGUAGAGAUUGGGAGGAACACCAGUGGCGAAGGCGACUUACUGGGCCGUAACUGACGCUGAGGCGCGAAAGCGUGGGGAGCGAACAGGAUUAGAUACCCUGGUAGUCCACGCGGUAAACGAUGAGUGCUAGGUGUAAGAGGUAUCGACCCCUUUUGUGCCGGAGUCAACACAAUAAGCAUUCCGCCUGGGGAGUACGGCCGCAAGGUUGAAACUCAAAUGAAUUGACGGGG
rnacentral:rRNA from 1 species